GACUUAAUACUUUAAAUUAAAAGACCUGAUUUGCAUUCAGAGAAUAGGCUAUAAGCUUUUAGGUCA
rnacentral:tRNA from 1 species